AUUUUGGACAAUGGGCGCAAGCCUGAUCCAGCCAUACCGCGUGUGCGAUGAAGGCCUUCGGGUUGUAAAGCACUUUUGUCAGGGAAGAAAAGGUUCUGGCUAAUAACCGGAACUGAUGACGGUACCCGAAGAAUAAGACCCGGCUACCUAACUGCCCACACCCGCGGUAAUACGUAGGGUGCAAGCGUUACUCGGAAUUACUGUGCGUAAAGAGUGCGCAGGCGGUUAGGAAAGAAGGAUGUGAAAUCCCAGGGCUCAACCUUGGAACUGCAUUCUUAACUACCGAACUAGAGUAUGUCAGAGGGUGGUAGAAUUCCGCGUGUAGCAGUGAAAUGCGUAGAUAUGCGGAGGAAUACCGAUGGCGAAGGCAGCCCCCUGGGAUAAUACUGACGCUAAUGCACGAAAGCGUGGGUAGCAAACAGG
rnacentral:rRNA from 1 species